UUUAGCUUUUCUGGAUUCUUUAUCGACGGAACGGCCUUUCCCCCCCUGCCUACCCCGCACUCCUACUUUACCUUUCCCUUCAUCUUCCCUAAACCCUUUCAAGCCUCUCACACUCCCCUCCUCCUCCUCCUCAAAUUCCACUGAAUCACAAAGAAUACUCCACGGAGUAGGAUUUACAUUCGCUUUUGUUUCCAGGAUCCCCGUUCCCUUUGAUGGAUCCGUAAGCAGUGCGCCCUCCCCAAGUAGAGGAAAAACCCCUCUGUUUUUCCCUUCUCUCUCCCAGAUCGGAGGACAAGAAUACGGGGCCAAGGAAAAACUACACGAGAGAUCGGCGAUGGGUGAGACGUGGAGCACGACGAGCGUCCACGUGACGGCGCUGGACGGGCUGGUGAACGUGAAUUCACUUUUCACGAUCGCCGUCUUCGUGGGGCUCUCCCUCACCUCCCCGGGCCAGCGGAGCCUCGAAGGGAAGUCCACCUGCGACGCCGGCCCGGACGUCAUCCGCAACCUCCUGGUAUUCGAGGUGGUCUCCUUCAGCUUCUUCCUCUUCUCCAGCCUCGUCGCACAGGGCCUCAAGCUCGCCAUCAAUCUGAUCAACAGCAACGACGUCGACGAAGCCUUCCGGGCCCACAUCAACGCGCGGGUGCUCCGCCUCGGGAUGCUUGCCUCCGCCGUCGGCUCGAUGAUGGGAUGCCUUUUCCUGCUGCUCUCCAUGGUCAACGUCAUCCAGAUCCGCCUCGGGAUGCUGUCCUGCGGCAGCUCCGCCACCGUCCGGGCGGUGGCGGCGCUCGUCACCCUCGUCUCCACCGCCCUCGUCGUCUACAUCUCCACCGUCCUCUACGCAUUCACCCAUUGAGUCAACCGACCGGCCUACUGCCUUCCUCUUUGCUAGGUUUUUUUUGUUAACACUCUCUGCUAGGUUUUAUUCUUGCUUCUUUUUUUUCUUUUUUUUGCUUUAUUUGGAGUGGAGAAAAAAAACUGAAAAUUUCUUCUUGUUUUACCUUAUUUUUGUUUCUAUGCCUAGAUUUUAUUAUUGAAUGAUGUCCGCUGAUAGGUCCCCUGUCCGUUUUUGGCCCGGCCAUCACUCCAUCCCCAAUUCCUCAGUCCUCGGAAUCCCUCCCCUGAGUCCCCCCUCUUCUCCUCGCAAUCCCAUGGAACGCGUCAAGCGUUGCCGCUGUUCCACUUCUGAUCCCUUCUUCUUCACGGCCUCCAAAUCUCUCUCCGAGCCCCCGAAUCGAACACAACUCCGUGUUGGCCAAUCAAGGAAGCAACCAGGAAGAGGCCCUUUCUGAUGAUGAAUUUCUUUCACGACAAGGUCUCUUAUUCUCCAUCGGAGAUCCCUUGCGAGCAUUAAAAUGGGCAUGGGAUGCUGUUAAGGAGAAGAUAUCGUGGGAAUGGAGAGCAAUGCUGGAGCGAGUGAGCUCUUUGUUUAAACCUCGGAGAUGGAACCGAUUUCUGGCCUCCAAGGUUUUAUGAAGGAACUACUGCCAAAAAGAUAAUCUUUUCCACCCUUUUCUAUGAUUUUGACAGUAUUUUGUUUAUCUCAGUUGGCAUGGAGGGAAUUAAACCUUAAAUCUUGUGUUUCUUGCU